UUCACUGCUCUGUGUCUUCUGCUCCUAGAGGCCCAGCUUCUGUGGCCUCGUUACCUGCAGGUAUUGGGAGAUCCACAGCUAAGACGCCAGGACCCACUGGAAGCCUAGAAAUGCUGGCUCCAAAAUCCGCGGCCCCGAGUUCUCCUUGGCGCAGCUCGGCCCUCAGUCCCCUUCAGCCAUAGGAUGGCGGCCGGGCUGACAGCUCGGACCCCGGGCAUCCUGUCUCCUCCCUGCGCAGUGACUGUGCCUUGUUCUGGAGUCCUCUGUGGGCAGCUCUGCCCCCACUGCCGCAGCUCUCCCCGAUUGUGCAGGGACCACUGGACGGUCGUCAGGGGAGAAUACUGACUCAGGAUGCAGAGUUCAUGAAUGGGAAGAGCUUUGGUCUGCGGGGUUCCCAGUCCCCCUUUUUUUCUAUUAAAAAUUUGUGGAAGUCUCCGCAGAAAUAUUAAAGAAUUUAAUUAAAGAGUAAUUCAAGAAUUGUAGAGCACCAAGCUAUGUUUUGUAGUUUGUGGUUUAUGGAAGGGGCUUGAAGAAAACACUUUUAUAAAGUGCAUGAUAAAGGAAAGCAAAUUCAAUAAUUGGUUAGGUAAAGUUAUGUAGUUUCUUAAUUUGUACGAUCAAGGUGGAAAUUCCCUGGUCAUGUAAUGAGAGGUUAAUUGGCAGUUUAUAGUUGGUUAAGCCUGAAUUUUAUUUUCCCCCAAUGUAAUACUUUAGAAAAAAAUCAUUCGAGUUAGAUUUUUUUGCAAGUAGCAACCCUAGGACUGGAGCCACCUCAGUCUAAUUGCCUGCCACUUAAUUAUUUUCACACUCCACAGGGCACUGAUUUUCCUCUGCAUUUUUCACUUCUGUCUCAAGCAGGGUCUCAAGACUUCUCCCCAUUUCCCAUUCCUCCAGCCUAACUCUGGCUUGCAGUAAAAUACUAAAUUUCCAGUUCCUUCUGACAUUCCCAAAUGCCAAUUUCCCCUCCCUAAUUCACAUUAUCAACUAUUUGUCCUUUAAUGUACACUUUAGUGUACAUUUUAGGUACCAUAUUUUAAUUAAUCAUUUUUUGACAAAGCAUUGGCUGGCAUUUUAAAAAAGAUUUGUUUUCUGUUUGUAAAGAUUUCCCAAGAGAAGAAAGCAAAGAAUAAUCCCCUGACACUGUAUUGUAAAAAAUGUUCUGUGCCUCCUUUCCUUUUAUUGCCUCUAGC
rnacentral:lncRNA from 10 species